GUGAGGUGGAACUUUACAGUCAAAGCAGUAGUCGUGAAGAUUAUCUCCAUUCUGCUGAUCCUGAGUAACACGAGUAAAUGCACUACAGAAGGAUGCGGAAGAGAUGAGAUGCUCGCCUUGAGAGCCUGGAAAAACUACUGGAGCAAUCAGCAGAAAGGCCGGAGAGAACAGCUGCACAAAGGGCUGAAAUGGCUCGCUAACGACAAGUCUUGCUCUUCCAAGCAGAACUUAUAGUUACUACAAAUUUAUAUGGCGUCAACACAAGACACACAGCAAUGUGCAAGUGCUGCUGCAACAUUGCCACGGUCACUUCUAUUCCCACUGUUCCCAUCAAACGCGCAGUUCACGCCACCUUCAUCAUGUGCUCCACAAGCAGAGCGGCAGCCAAGCGGAUUCCCAUGACUGGGUCAGGAUCUUCUGUGUUUUAGGAUUGUGUUACUAAAAUGAUUGUGAGGAUUGUGUUACUAAAAUGAUUGUGCUGGUGGGGCGACAUGGUCAUUGUUCUUACCCAGCCCAAUGUUUG